AUUGAACGCUGGCGGCAGGCCUAACACAUGCAAGUCGAACGGUAACAGGAAACAGCUUGCUGUUUCGCUGACGAGUGGCGGACGGGUGAGUAAUGUCUGGGAAACUGCCUGAUGGAGGGGGAUAACUACUGGAAACGGUAGCUAAUACCGCAUAACGCCGCAAGACCAAAGAGGGGGACCUUCGGGCCUCUUGCCAUCGGAUGUGCCCAGAUGGGAUUAGCUAGUAGGUGGGGUAACGGCUCACCUAGGCGACGAUCCCUAGCUGGUCUGGGAGGAUGACCAGCACCCUCGGAACUGAGACACGGUCCAGACUCCUACGGGAGGCAGCAGUGGGGAAUAUUGCACAAUGGGCGCAAGCCUGAUGCAGCCAUGCAGCGUGUCUGAAGAAGGCCUUCGGGUUGUAAAGUACUUUCAGCGGGGAGGAAGGGAGUAAAGUCAAUACCUUUGCUCAUUGACGUUACCCGCAGAAGAAGCACCGGCUAACUCCGUGCCAGCAGCCGCAGUAA
rnacentral:rRNA from 1 species